rnacentral:ncRNA from 17 species
AAUACAUACAGCAAAUCAGGUGUCGCAAGACUCAAUAGAUAAGUCCGGUGUAAAACCGGCGCGGUCCCGCCGCUGUAAGGAAGAGCCGGCUGCAUGGGUGCCACUGUACGACGUUCGUAUGGGAAGGCGCAGUUAGGCGAUGAAUCCGAGCCAGAAGAACUGCCUGACGGAUAAUCACCGAC